rnacentral:rRNA from 1 species
AUUGAACGCUGCGGCAUGCUUAACACAUGCAAGUCGAGCGAGCGGCUGACGGGUGAGUAAUUCUUAGGAAGCUGACUAUUAGUGGGGGACAACAUCUCGAAAGGGAUGCUAAUAUCGUAUACUAAUAGAUGCACUUAAGUCGGAUUAGCUAGUGGGUUAGGUAAAGGCCUACCAAGGCGACGAUCUGUAGCGGGUCUGAGAGGAUGAUCGGCCAAACUGGGACUGAGACACGGCCCAGACUCCUACGGGAGGCAGCAGUAGGGAAUAUUUGGCAAUGGGGGGAAGCCUGAGCCAGCAAUGCCGCGUGUGUGAAGAAGGUUUUAUGGUUGUAAAGCACUUUAAGUGAGGAGGCGUUACUCAAAGAAUAAGCGACGGCUAACUAUGUGCCAGCAGCCGCGGUAAUUC